CAGCCCUUGACAUGUCCGGGACCGGUCGCAGAGAUGUGACCCUCUCUUCGGAGUCCGGAACACAGGUGCUGCAUGGCUGUCGUCAGCUCGUGUCGUGAGAUGUUGGGUUAAGUCCCGCAACGAGCGCAACCCCCGUCCUUAGUUGCUACCAUUCAGUUGAGCACUCUAAGGAGACUGCCGGUGAUAAGCCACGAGGAAGGUGGGGAUGACGUCAAGUCCUCAUGGCCCUUACGGGCUGGGCUACACACGUGCUACAAUGGCGGUGACAAUGGGAAGCGAAGACGCAAGUCCUAGCAAAUCUCAAAAAACCGUCUCAGUUCGGAUUGGGCUCUGCAACUCGAGCCCAUGAAGCUGGAAUCGCUAGUAAUCGUGGAUCAGCACGCCACGGUGAAUA
rnacentral:rRNA from 1 species